GGAGGUUCUUCAACUGGACAAGUAAGAUCUGCUCCUGAGGAGGGGGGUGCUGCCUCUAACAUGAGUCUCUCUGAGGAACAACACACCAGCCAUGGAGCUAAGAGGAUGGGGGGAUCUAGCUCUAACAGGAGGUCACACU